rnacentral:misc_RNA from 1 species
ACUCUUCAACCCACCAGUUUCUUGUAAAUUGGAUUGGUGUUUGGAUUUUGAGUGUUGCUAUUCCUAGUGAAUCAGCUCAUUCGUAAUAUAUUAGCAUCUCUAAUUCGAACUCGGAUUGACUCAGUGUAAUAGACUAUUCGCUGAGGACACGCUCUUUGUAGUGUGGCCGAAUGAGAUCUCAGUAGAAGCUUCCAACUACUUUAGUCAACUUUAG